GGGGUUGUGGCUCAGCAGUAGAGCGCUCACCUAGUACAUGAAAGGCCCUGGGUUCAAUCCUCAGCACUACA
rnacentral:tRNA from 1 species